AUGCUGGAGGUAUCAGAAGUGCGAAUGCUGACAUAAGUAACGAUAAAGCGGGUGAAAAGCCCGCUCGCCGGAAGACCAAGGGUUCCUGUCCAACGUUAAUCGGGGCAGGGUGAGUCGACCCCUAAGGCGAGGCCGAAAGGCGUAGUCGAUGGGAAACAGGUUAAUAUUCCUGUACUUGGUGUUACUGCGAAGGGGGGACGGAGAAGGCUAUGUUGGCCGGGCGACGGUUGUCCCGGUUUAAGCGUGUAGGCUGGUUUUCCAGGCAAAUCCGGAAAAUCAAGGCUGAGGCGUGAUGACGAGGCACUACGGUGCUGAAGCAACAAAUGCCCUGCUUCCAGGAAAAGCCUCUAAGCAUCAGGUAACAUCAAAUCGUACCCCAAACCGACACAGGUGGUCAGGUAGAGAAUACCAAGGCGCUUGAGAGAACUCGGGUGAAGGAACUAGGCAAAAUGGUGCCGUAACUUCGGGAGAAGGCACGCUGAUAUGUAGGUGAAGUCCCUCGCGGAUGGAGCUGAAAUCAGUCGAAGAUACCAGCUGGCUGCAACUGUUUAUUAAAAACACAGCACUGUGCAAACACGAAAGUGGACGUAUACGGUGUGACGCCUGCCCGGUGCCGGAAGGUUAAUUGAUGGGGUUAGCCGCAAGGCGAAGCUCUUGAUCGAAGCCCCGGUAAACGGCGGCCGUAACUAUAACGGUCCUAAGGUAGCGAAAUUCCUUGUCGGGUAAGUUCCGACCUGCACGAAUGGCGUAAUGAUGGCCAGGCUGUCUCCACCCGAGACUCAGUGAAAUUGAACUCGCUGUGAAGAUGCAGUGUACCCGCGGCAAGACGGAAAGACCCCGUGAACCUUUACUAUAGCUUGACACUGAACAUUGAGCCUUGAUGUGUAGGAUAGGUGGGAGGCUUUGAAGUGUGGACGCCAGUCUGCAUGGAGCCGACCUUGAAAUACCACCCUUUAAUGUUUGAUGUUCUAACGUUGACCCGUAAUCCGGGUUGCGGACAGUGUCUGGUGGGUAGUUUGACUGGGGCGGUCUCCUCCUAAAGAGUAACGGAGGAGCACGAAGGUUGGCUAAUCCUGGUCGGACAUCAGGAGGUUAGUGCAAUGGCAUAAGCCAGCUUGACUGCGAGCGUGACGGCGCGAGCAGGUGCGAAAGCAGGUCAUAGUGAUCCGGUGGUUCUGAAUGGAAGGGCCAUCGCUCAACGGAUAAAAGGUACUCCGGGGAUAACAGGCUGAUACCGCCCAAGAGUUCAUAUCGACGGCGGUGUUUGGCACCUCGAUGUCGGCUCAUCACAUCCUGGGGCUGAAGUAGGUCCCAAGGGUAUGGCUGUUCGCCAUUUAAAGUGGUACGCGAGCUGGGUUUAGAACGUCGUGAGACAGUUCGGUCCCUAUCUGCCGUGGGCGCUGGAGAACUGAGGGGGGCUGCUCCUAGUACGAGAGGACCGGAGUGGACGCAUCACUGGUGUUCGGGUUGUCAUGCCAAUGGCACUGCCCGGUAGCUAAAUGCGGAAGAGAUAAGUGCUGAAAGCAUCUAAGCACGAAACUUGCCCCGAGAUGAGUUCUCCCUGACUCCUUGAGAGUCCUGAAGGAACGUUGAAGACGACGACGUUGAUAGGCCGGGUGUGUAAGCGCAGCGAUGCGUUGAGCUAACCGGUACUAAUGAACCGUGAGGCUUAACCUUACAACGCCGAAG
rnacentral:rRNA from 1 species